UAGCAUGGUGGUCGCCUCCUGUCAAAGAUUUUCAUUGUAAUCUAAAACUUUGAAUAGUUACGGGUUUCUAUAAAGAACUUACUAUAGACGGCGACCCGGUCGCUUAGAACCGAAUAUAAAAUCAUCAUAUCAAAAA